rnacentral:rRNA from 1 species
CCUACGGGAGGCAGCAGUCGGGAAUUUUGGGCAAUGGGCGAAAGCCUGACCCAGCAACGCCGCGUGAAGGAUGAAAUCCCUCGGGAUGUAAACUUCGCAAGAACGGGAAGAAUAAGCGAGAGUUAAUAUCUUUCGCGAUGACGGUACCGUUUGUAAGCUCCGGCUAACUCCGUGCCAGCAGCCGCGGUAAU